rnacentral:rRNA from 1 species
UACGGAGGGAGCUAGCGUUGUUCGGAAUUACUGGGCGUAAAGCGCGCGUAGGCGGCUUUGUAAGUUAGAGGUGAAAGCCCGGGGCUCAACUCCGGAACUGCCUUUAAGACUGCAUCGCUUGAAUCCAGGAGAGGUGAGUGGAAUUCCGAGUGUAGAGGUGAAAUUCGUAGAUAUUCGGAAGAACACCAGUGGCGAAGGCGGCUCACUGGACUGGUAUUGACGCUGAGGUGCGAAAGCGUGGGGAGCAAACAGG